CAGAGCUGCAGUUUCAAGAAAGACUGGCAAUCAUUGUGCUAAACUGGUGGGACCAUCUGGUUGCUGGAAAACAAGUUCAGGGCUCCCACUGAGUCUACAUUAUGUAUAAACACAGAAUUGGCAUUGCAGAAGGGGCCUCUAACAAGAGCUGGAGGAGGGAUGCUUAAAAG